CCAAAGGAUGGGGCCGCGACCGAUCAGGCUGUUGGCGAGGUAACGGCUCACCAAACCUAUAACCGGUACGGGCCGCGGGAGCGGGAGCCCGGAGAUGGGCACUUAGACAAGGGCCCAGGCCCUACGGGGCGCAGCAGUCGCGCAAACUCUGCAAUACGCGAAAGCGUGACAGGGCUAUCCCGAGUGCCGUCCGCUGAGGAUGGCUUUUCUCUGGUGUAAUGAGCCGGAGGAAUAAGGAGAGGGCAAGUCUGGUGUCAGCCGCCGCGGUAAUACCAGCUCUCCGAGUGGUAGGGACGAUUAUUGGGCCUGAAGCGUCCGUAGCCAGCUAAGCAAGUUUCCCGUUAAAUCCAGCGAUCUAAUCGUUGGCCUGCGGGAAAUACUGCUUGGCUAGGGGGCGAGAGAGGCCAACGGUAUUUCCGGGGUAGGGGUGAAAUCUUAUAAUCCCGAGAGGACCACCAGUGGCGAAGGCUGUUGGCUAGAACGCGCUCGACGGUGAGGGACGAAAGCUGGGGGAGCGAACCGGAUUAGAUACCCGGGUAGUCCCAGCUGUAAACGAU
rnacentral:rRNA from 1 species